rnacentral:rRNA from 1 species
GACGAGCCUCACAAACGUUAUUCGGAAUUACUGGGCUUAAAGGGUGCGUAGGCGGCGCGGAAAGUUGGGUGUGAAAUCCCUCGGCUCAACCGAGGAACAGCGCCCAAAACUACCGUGCUCGAGGGAGAUAGAGGAAUGCGGAACUUAGGGUGGAGCGGUGAAAUGCGUUGAUAUCCUAGGGAACACCGGUGGCGAAAGCGGCAUUCUGGAUCUCGUCUGACGCUGAGGCACGAAAGCUAGGGUAGCGAACGGG